UUCUGUUGGAACAUAAAGGAGAGAAGGAGGAGAAGAAGAAGGAGAAGGAAUGAGAGAAAAAGUUUUCUCUCACCUUUUGGGAUCAGCUGAUCCAAGCUACUCAUUAGAUGGAGAUACUAGUGAGUUGUCAAGUUCUAGCACAGAUACUUUCGGAGUUGCUUCGAAUAGUUGGUGGGUUGUUCUAGAAGCAGAGGUGGAGCAUGGACCUGACUGUUGGUGUGAUGAUUGUGCCUUUGGAGGCUUGGAUUACUGAGUCACUUCAAUGAUUUUAGUUUAUAUAUUGUGUAUUUGUGUAGAUAAUAUGGAUGAUCAAAUAUAUAUGGACUUGGAAAUGUAUUAAAUUUAACUUUUGUGUGUAUAUGAAAUCAGUAUCACAUAGUUGACACUAGUUAUGUAUAAAUUUAUGUUAUAUAUGUGAUUUUAGUGAUCUUAGUGCACUA